rnacentral:rRNA from 1 species
UGUAAGUGUAUACCAAAGUUGUUGCAGUUAAAACGCUCGUAGUCGGACUUUGGCAGUUCCGGAUGUGUGCACGUCGUGUGCGCACUUCGCGGGGAUUGCUUUUGUGGUCUUGCGUAGGAUGAGGCACUUUUAUUAGUGAACGUCCUCACGCAACCACUUUUUACUGUGAGAAAAUCAGAGUGCUCAAAGCAGGCAUUUGCCGUGAAUGUAUUAGCAUGGAAUAAUAGAAUAGGACUUGGUUCUAUUUUGUUGGUUUGUUGGGACUGAGUAAUGAUUAAGAGGGACAGUUGGGGGCAUUUGUAUUUCGGUGCUAGAGGUGAAAUUCUUAGAUUACCGAAAGACAAACUGCUGCGAAAGCGUCUGCCAAGGAUGUUUUCAUUGA